UACUAUACUAAACUUAAAGACAAGACUUGAAUAUUAUAAGAUAAGGACUUAAAAUUCAAAGAAUUUGGCGGUAAUUUAGUCUUUUCAGAGGAACCUGUUUUUUAAACGAUAAACCACGAAUAAUCUUACUUGCUUUAAAUAAAAAUCAGUUUGUAUACCGCCAUUAUCAGAUAAUAUUUAGAGAUUAAAUUAUUGAAUUUUGAAUAACAGUGAAAAUUAGGUCAAGGUGCAGCUUAUGGGCAAGUUAAAAUGGGUUACAAUAAGUUAUUUUAUUAUGGAGUAUAGUUUGAAAAAAUUAUAUGAAGGAGGAUUUGAUUGUAAUGUAAAUUAUUAAGAUAUAAAGAUAUAAGCUCUAAAUUAU
rnacentral:rRNA from 1 species